rnacentral:rRNA from 1 species
AUGGCCCACACUGCCUCUUUCAAGAAAGUCAAGGCUUUCUCUCAGUCUGACCUCGAUGAUGCAAACAACUUCACCAACAUCUCCUCCCAUAACAAGCUCGUGAGAUAUAGAGAUGAGGGGAAGGCGAGGAAAGGGGAGGACUUUAACCCGAGCCAGGGUCCCAUUGAUCCAGAGCUGGUGAUGAUAUCUGGUGGCGGGAGGUCCCAUGGCUCCAUAGCCAUUGGAGAUGGACUUAUCCGUUGUCCUAGCACUCUCCCGGAGAUCAAGGCGCGCCAGUCGAGCUCCGCUCCUGAGAUAAGGCCUCGUGAACGGCCAGUGCAACUCGCCAUCAAGGUUAGUGAUACGUACUCAGUUAUCUUUCUCCAUUACAUUGUGUGCGCUUCCAUCAAUGAUUACAAAUGGUCAUGUGAGUGGUGUUGCAGGCUGCUAUACAGAGUGAGAGAGAUAGAACGGAGAAACUUCUGGCGGAGGCGGCGGAGAGGCAGCGGGAGUUGGAGGAGAGGACGACAAAGAUGA